AUUGAACGCUGGCGGCAUGCCUUACACAUGCAAGUCGAACGGCAGCACGGGUGCUUGCACCUGGUGGCGAGUGGCGAACGGGUGAGUAAUACAUCGGAACGUACCUUAUCGUGGGGGAUAACGCAGCGAAAGUUGCGCUAAUACCGCAUACGCCCUGAGGGGGAAAGCGGGGGACCGUAAGGCCUCGCGCGAUUAGAGCGGCCGAUGUCUGAUUAGCUUGUUGGUGAGGUAAAAGCUUACCAAGGCGAUGAUCAGUAGCUGGUCUGAGAGGACGAUCAGCCACACUGGGACUGGGACACGGCCCAGACUCCUGCGGGAGGCAGCAGUGGGGAAUUUUGGACAAUGGGGGCAACCCUGAUCCAGCAAUGCCGCGUGAGUGAAGAAGGCCUUCGGGUUGUAAAGCUCUUUUGUCAGGGAAGAAACAGCAGCUCUAACACAGUCUGCGAAUGACGGUACCUGAAGAAUAAGCACCGGCUAACUACGUGCCAGCCGCCGCCGUAA
rnacentral:rRNA from 1 species